GACGAACGCUGGCGGCGUGCUUAACACAUGCAAGUCGAACGGAAAGGCCCUGCUUGCCGGGUGCUCGAGUGGCGAACGGGUGAGUAACACGUGGGUGAUCUGCCCCUUACUUUGGGAUAAGCCUGGGAAACUGGGUCUAAUACUGGAUAGGACCAUACUGUAGGUGGUGUGGUGGAAAGAUUAGUUUCGGUAAGGGAUGAGCUCGCGGCCUAUCAGCUUGUUGGUGGGGUAAUGGCCUACCAAGGCGUCGACGGGUAGCCGGCCUGAGAGGGUGGACGGCCACAUUGGGACUGAGAUACGGCCCAGACUCCUACGGGAGGCAGCAGUGGGGAAUAUUGCACAAUGGGCGCAAGCCUGAUGCAGCGACGCCGCGUGGGGGAUGACGGCCUUCGGGUUGUAAACUCCUUUCAGCCAUGACGAAGCCCUUGUGGUGACGGUAGUGGUAGAAGAAGCACCGGCUAACUACGUG
rnacentral:rRNA from 1 species